rnacentral:rRNA from 1 species
GACGAACGCUGGCGGCGUGCUUAACACAUGCAAGUCGAACGGUAAGGCCCCUCGGGGUACACGAGUGGCGAACGGGUGAGUAACACGUGGGUGAUCUGCCCUGCACUUCGGGAUAAGCCUGGGAAACUGGGUCUAAUACCGGGUAGGACCCUGGGAUGCAUGUCCUGGGGUGGAAAGCUUUUGCGGUGUGGGAUGGGCCCGCGGCCUAUCAGCUUGUUGGUGGGGUGAUGGCCUACCAAGGCGACGACGGGUAGCCGGCCUGAGAGGGUGACCGGCCACACUGGGACUGAGAUACGGCCCAGACUCCUACGGGAGGCAGCGGUGGGGAAUAUUGCACAAUGGGCGCAAGCCUGAUGCAGCGACGCCGCGUGAGGGAUGACGGCCUUCGGGUUGUAAACCUCUUUCAGCACCGACGAAGCGCAAGUGACGGUAGGUGCAGAAGAAGGACCGGCCAACUACGUGCCAGCAGCCGCCGUAA